rnacentral:lncRNA from 1 species
UAUACUAAAUAGUACCUAUUUUAGUUGGUAUGAAAAGAUGAUUAAAAUGUCAAGAAUAAGAAUGAUAAAGGUGUGACAAGAACUUGUAAAGAUUCCUGUUAAUAAAAUGUAAAAGGGACCUAAUUUAUAUUCAGAUAUUUUCAUAAGACUAAAUGUAUAGCCUCGGGCACAUACACAAAAACUAACAGCACAGAAUAAGCAAAUGACAAAUACAACAUUUGAGGAAUGUGGAGAAAUGAAUAUACAUUAUUUUCUUAAUGGCUAAUUGAUUGAAUUUUUCUGGAACACAAUCUGAUGGGCAGAUAGAAUUGAAGUAAUUUGUAUAUUUUCUUCAUCUAUUUGAAAAAUACCUUCAAGAAAAUAAGAAUAGAAAGGAGAAUUGAAGUAAUUUGUAUAUUUUCUUCAUCUAUUUGAAAAAUACCUUCAAGAAAAUAAGGAGAAUAGAAAGAUUGGCUGGAAUCAACUUGUGAAUGAAAAUGAAGAUUUUGCAAAAUGUUAAACUGACAAGUAGUUCAUUUAAGAAUGAAUACUAUGUACAUUUCCCAGAACCGUCUUAAGGCGUGUUAUAUAGCACUUUCAAAAUAAAUUAGAAUUGCAGAAAAGGCCAAGAUACUACCAA